rnacentral:rRNA from 1 species
GACGAACGCUGGCGGCGUGCUUAACACAUGCAAGUCGAACGGAAAGGCCCUGCUUGCAGGGUACUCGAGUGGCGAACGGGUGAGUAACACGUGGGUGAUCUGCCCUGCACUUCGGGAUAAGCCUGGGAAACUGGGUCUAAUACCGGAUAGGAGCCAUUUUUAGUGUGAUGGUUGGAAAGUUUUUUCGGUGUAGGAUGAGCUCGCGGCCUAUCAGCUUGUUGGUGGGGUAAUGGGCUACCAAGGCGGCGGCGGGUAGCCGGCCUGAGAGGGUGGACGGCCACAUUGGGACUGGGAUACGGCCCAGACUCCUACGGGGGGCAGCAGUGGGGAAUAUUGGACCAGGGGCGCAAGCCUGGUGCAGCGACGCCGCGGGGGGGAUGACGGCCUUCGGGUUGUAAACUCCUUUCGCUAGGGACGAAGCUUUGUGUGACGGUACCUAGAUAAGAAGCACCGGCUAACUACGUG